rnacentral:lncRNA from 1 species
CCUACCACCGCUCUGUCGCCCCCCUGCAACCAAGAUCGUCUAUCGCUCGCCCCACCUCCCCUGCGACCGCCAGCGAUGGGAAGGCCCUGCAGCGGUGCAGCCCGCGAUCUGGGAAGGAAGGAUGACAUCGCUGCUGGUGGUGGGGCGUCGUGUGACAUCCUCCACCAGCCGCGUCUCCACGGUAUCCCUCGCCAGGCCAGGAUGUGGUGAUCACAGCCAGGACGUGGUCAUCAUAGAGCCAAUCCCUUCUCUCCCUAUUGUGCUAUGCAAAAUGGAGCACCCUCGCGCUGCCAGGGAGCCCCAGGACAUGGUGAUCACGGCCAGGACGUGGUGGUCACGGAGAAUGUACCACCAGGUGUGCGAAUGCCUUCUCUUCCCUUCCUGCUAUUUGUCUUCUGAACUGAUCUAAUUACAUGUUCGUACAUGUAUUAUGACUGCUUACUUCGAUCUAUUUAGUUUGAGGCGGCCAGGACAUGGUCACGCAAGGGAUUGUGUCAUCUGAUUGAGGUUGUUGAUUCAGGUGUUGCAUAGUAUCAUUCUGAUCAGUUUAGUUUGUGGUUGUGGUGCUCAUGUGAAACUCACUGAUUUUUUUUUAAAAGUCUAACAUAGCUUUCGCUUGGUUGUAUGCUCACCCUUUAGGCUUUCUAAACAUGAAAUAGCAGUUUUUUCAUUGCCAUCAUUAAUCAUCUCAUGGUGUUAGUUGAUUAAUAGAACAUGGCCAGGCUAAUCCCUACUACUAGACAAGCACUGCAGUUUUCACAUCUAAACAAACACCUGGAAAUAUUCAUAAGUAUUUUCAGAACUAGACUAAAGAAUCUUAUUCAUAGCACGGUAUUAAUUAGAACCUAACAAUAUUUAACCCAGUUUAUUUAGAACUAGGCUUGGCUAACCUACAUGUAUUUUCAUAACUUUUCUGAACUGAAGACUGAUUUCAGUUUCAGUAUGAAUUCUUUAGAGGUGCCUAAGUUAUCACAUAUGUGGCUGAACGAAAUCUAACAGUAGGUUCACAUAGCUUCAGAGUUCAGAGGUGCCUUAAGUCAUCACAUACUCUUAGUAUCAGGCCAACCAUAUCCAAUACUUUUGCAUACUAUGACACUAAUAUUUUUUUGUCGCUGAAGAUAUUUUGAGAACAAUCAGACUGAUAAUUAUAUGCACUAAAAAAUCAGAUAUGAGGAUGUGGACUAAUAUAUGUAAAUUAACAUGUAGUAGAAACCAAAUAACUCAUAUCUUCAGAGAUAGGAAUCUUACCUAAUAAAGCUUAGCAACUAUUUUGGCUGUUCAGAGUGAGAAAAUAGUUAGCUUCUCAUGGACCAUUUGACAUAGCCAAUGAACCCAUCAAAGAUUUUCAAGUUUAUUUGUCUGAUGGAGUGAAUGAGGCACGCCCAGCAUGGCAGCACUAGAAUGAAGGGUAUCUAUGACCUGUAUGGUCCAAAAUACACGAGUAAAAAAGGAAAACUAGUUGCCACUAUGAUAGUUCAAGACUUCAAAAAACAAGAAGCAAAUUCUAGCUCAAAUGCUGACAAAAUAACACUAGAAAAUUGUGUCAUUUCUUGUUCUUGGGAAAAAAACUGGACACUGAUCACUUCAACAAUACUAGCAUCAUUAGAACUCUGCAACUAUAUACUGUAAGAUGUGCAAGCAGAGCUCAAGCACCAGUAUAGAAAGUUUAAUGGAUGCAGUUGUUUUUAAUUAGUGGAGACUGGCCGAUACAACCGCCUCCAAUAAAAGGCCUUGGUUAAUCGACGGUAACCGAGGUGGUUUCUCUUUCCGCCUCUAUUAAUCAUAUAAAUAGACGAUUAAUAGAGGUGGGCACAACAAAGCUACCGCCUCCGUUAACAUAAUUAAUGGAGACGGACCUUAAUAACCGCCUGUCUUCACUAAUGUUUUAACGGAGACGGCCAUUUUAUAAUGCUUGCCUCUAUUAAUUGUUCUUGUUGUCGGGGCGGGCCAGGACAUGAUCUUAGACUUGUUGGAGCCUGAAGGUGAAUUCACGUCGGUUGAUAUUUCAGAAAUCAAUCCUGAAGGAUUAGGCGUUCAAGAAAUGCCCUGCCUGUCAGGCUCAGUUUCGCUUCAGACAGUAUUUAUAUACUAUUUUAUUUGAAUAACUGCAUUGGCUGUCCGUUGCUACUGUGUUGAUGCCUUUUUCUUCAACCCGAAAUCCUGUCAUAUAAAAUGGUGUUGUAUUAUAUGAUUGGAAUGAUAUGAUGGCCUACUUAUUCCUCAACUAAAAUAUGGGGUAAAUUAAAACUUACUACUGGCCUAUGGGUCCAAAUGCUCAGCGUUUGGUGUCUUGUCUGCAGACUGGUGGUGGUGCCGGUGCGCCUUGGAUGUUUGGACCUCGCCGUAGAAGUAGGAGACGAAGCCCCAGAGCGAGAGCGCGAGGGCGACGCCCUUGGUGCCGUUGAACGGCUCGUGGAAGAACAUGACGGCGAGCACCUCGGUGACCGGGAU